GGCGAUUUAGCUCAGUGGCACAGCGCCUGCCUGGCAAGCAGGGCGUCCUGAGUUCAAUUCUCAGUACCU
rnacentral:tRNA from 1 species